AUUUUCAGGGCAGGGUGCAAGUCCCUACCGGUGGUACAGCCCACGAGCCGCGAGGCCGAUUCGGUGAAACUCCGAAGCCGACAGUUACAGUCUGGAUGGAAGAAAAU
rnacentral:ncRNA from 1 species